AGAGUUUGAUCAUGGCUCAGAAUGAACGUUGGCGGCGUGGAUUAGGCAUGCAAGUCGAACGGGUCCGGCCUUCGGGCCGGGCCAGUGGCGCAAGGGUGAGUAAGGCGACGGUAACCAACCCCAUGGUCGGGUAUAGCCGCGGGAAACUGCGGGUAAUCCCCAGCGACGUCGGGGGCCGGCAUCGGCCCGCGACCAAAGCUCCGGCGCCGUGGGACGGGCCGUCGUGGUAUUAGCUAGUUGGCGGGGUAACGGCCCACCAAGGCUGUGAUGCCUACCGGGCGUGCGAGCGUGGCCCGGCACACUGGGACUGAGACACUGCCCAGACUCCUACGGGAGGCUGCAGUCGAGAAUCUUCGGCAAUGGGCGCAAGCCUGACCGAGCGACGCCGCGUGGAGGACGAAGGCCUUCGGGUUGUAAACUCCUGUCGAGGGGGAGGAAGGGGAGACCUUGACCGAUCCCUGGAGGAAGCACGGGCUAAGUUCGUGCCAGCAGCCGCGGUAAUAC
rnacentral:rRNA from 1 species